ncrna:Ictalurus punctatus (channel catfish) microRNA ipu-mir-7558b precursor
AGCUGAGAUUGGGAGCACACUCUUAAAGGGAGUGCUCCUGGUCUCGGCUCG